CCCAGUUUCACCAAAGUCGAGUCAAAGCUCUGCUGACACCGGAGCGUGUUUUAUUGGCAUAUAAACUCUGCAAUGGGUCUGGUUGGGUAUUCCUGGAGAGCACAUUUUAACUGGAGUUACCUGCAGUGACUUGAAGCAGAUCAAACAUUCCCUGAAGUGUGGUAGAAGGCAAGAAGAAUGACACUUGCUAAUUUGAAUUUCAGAAAGCGCCUAAACCACAUUCUGAUCUCCAGCCUUUGAGAAAAAACUCUGUUUCCUGAAAACACGAGAACAGCGCCGGGAGGGUGAAGGUCAAGUGCAAUUGCAGAUCAUGGUGAAAGGCUUAGGAGGCUCAAAAGGCUUGGAAGAAGUUAUACGAGCGGUGACUGGGCUACUGAAUCUGGAUGGAAGAGGACUGUGCUGGGCAAAGAGAGGGUCUGUCUGAACAAGGCACUAGAGAAAAUUAAGAGUGUGGCUUAUCUUGAUAUUAGAAUAACAUGUGGACUGAAGUGACUCUUUAUCAUGGGACAAUCCAACAGAUGUUGAAUAAGCUAGAAAACGAUUUUUUCUUGGACCACUGCAAGUCACAAAGGGGAACCAGUGGACAGUUGUGAACCAGGAGGACUUGCUCCAUCCUAGCUGCCACUCUUUGCAGAAGCAGCAGCAGAAGACUUCUGUUCACAGAGGAACCUCUCAGUGAGAGAGGUGAACCCACAGCAUAGCACAUGCUCCCAGCGAAAAAUAUAAAAUAAGGGGUCAAGUUAAAGUUGCUUUUAUAUGUCAGAUGAUUCUAAAACUGUUAUUUAAUGACUAAUAAUGUACUUUAUGGUCAAUUUUUUACAGAUAAGCAAGGGCUUCUUAAGUCUGAUUCAUUUGCUUAAUGGUAUGCAUUUUUUUUCUUGAGUAUAGUUUUUAAUUUUGAGCACAAAUGGAUACUGGCCUUAGCUGUAAUAUAUGUGCUGUUUUCCAUCCCCGUGUAUUGUCAUUAGGGAGUUUUCUGGCUAUCUGUACUUUCUCACAUCUGUGUGCUAAAUUAGAAAUUCUUAUAUAAAAUGUAGUGUGCAGGAGUAUUCUUUGGAUUUGUGGUUCUUUCUUGGGACAACUUGCGUCUGCAAAGCAACAGAAUCUUCAUUCCUGAUUUUUUUUCCUUAGUUGCAGAGCAUACAUGAAAUUUCUGGUGAAAUCAGUCCUGUUUCAUUGAUAUAUCAAGGGACAUAAUUUUCUACUGGUUAUUUUCAUGCAAAAUAGAGUUUAACCAGUUAUUUUUGUGUGUGACAGCCUUGCAAAUGUGCUUCACAUUUAUUUAGCCACAUGUUGACAAUUCUAAAGAUGAGAAAAUCUCUCUGAGCACAAACAGAAUGUGAAAUCUGACAUCUCUGAAACUUCAUACUUCAGGGCUGAGAAAUAUCAGUGUUUUUUUUUCCAUUUUUUUCACAGCAUUUUUAAUUCUGUGUUUACAGUAGAAUAGAAAUGGCUUUUAAAAAGGAAAGCAGAACAUCUGUAACUAGAUCUAUCAUAUAUACUUGAUGAAGAGAGAUAUCAUGAGUAUUUCGGCUAUCUCAGUAUAUAACAUUAAUAUGAUAUCAAAAUUUUGCCAUAUUUCAGAUGAUAGUCUACGGCAAAAUUUUAAACACCCAUGAAACCACCCCCUGUAGUAAAUAAAUCCAUUUCAUAAUAUUAUAAUACAACUCAAUGAAGCUAUAAGUACACAUGAAAGCUAUUAUGCAAUCUUUAAAUAUAGCAAGUAUAUUCUGCAUUUUAGAAAAGUGAGAGUCUACACUAAAAAGUCCACAUGUAUAUUUUACCUCUUAGAAGAGGUGAAAAGAAAUGUGUGGAGGUAUAUGAAAUAUUUAAUCAACAAGAAAACAUGAAAACAGUAAUAAAAAUGCUACGACAAAUUUGUGAUAUAAAUCAACACUGCCUACAGCUUUUUAGCACUGCCAUUAUGUUUCAGUUUAACUUCUGUAAGCAAACACCAAAGAAUUUGUAAUUUUAGGGGAGCAUCUUUUACUAGU